UUCCCCGUUUGGCCAUUUUGAAUUGGAAAUCAAAGACGGGAAUCAAAUGGUUAAAAAGAAACAUUUUCUGUAACUCCGUUUUUCCAUUGUACAAAAUAAUCCAAUGUUCAAAAGGUACACAGACCCUUAGACAAUAAUGCUCCGGAGGAAAUUGAUUUUCCAUAAAUACCACUUUCCCUUUCUGUAAGCCAACCAUACAAAGGAGACUUCACUCUUAUCUAUCCCGAUUCAGCAAGCAAAUCUCAAGUAAAAAAACAUCAGCAUCAAAAGUAAGUAUUCACUAAUGUUAGAUUUCAUCAAAGAUGACUGGAAUGGAAAAACAUAAACUGGCGAAUUGCUUUCUGUUUGAGAGCUUCCUUCUGGCUCUUUGCGGUUCAAGCGAUCGACGUCACCGGUCUACUAGCUGCUACCGCCCCUUUUCCACCAUCCAACCCCCGACUGUUGUUGUCGUCUCAUCAUCACACACUCCUGUUCCCUAUUCCAUCAUCAGUUUGUGUUUAUCAGUUUCCUCUGCUGCCCUUGUGCUUUAUUGUUUCAUGUUGUGUGUUUGAUUGUCGAGUUCACACUAGCGGUUAGCUGUAGAUCUGUACCCAGUCUUUUCCUGUUUACCAUACUAUAUGUUCUGACUGCAUUUUGAGCAAUGUCUGUUUACUCACAGUAUACUCGUUUUUUACCUGAGCAAAUAAAACGAUCAUCUUUACAAUCCUGCGACUGACUCCUCAACCCAGGCACGCAACAAUUGGACCGGAGAAGUUAGCUUUAUAUUUAUGAUUUGCAGUACCACAUCAAUGAAACCUUCCAAAAAAAAAAGACAGCAAUAGUUUUUUUUCUGAAUUCACAGUAAUGGUUAUAGGGCACAGUAAUGGUUGUUCCCGCAAUGUCUGUGCGGGCAUGAGCGAUCUCGUCCGCAGACAUUCGUAUAGGUGUUUGUCUACACACUUGCACUAAAAGACAGUGUCGUAUAUAUUAAACCAGGAUCUACACAAAUCAAAGAACAAACGUAGUGCUGCACAUUCCAUUGUAUGAUGGUAUGUGAAACAUUUGCGUUUGUCUCGCAAAAUGGGGGGGGGGGGGGGGAGAAGAGUUUUUAUUAUCGACACAUUAUCGCUUUGUUCGCCCGGAAGACGCCUGUAAUAUGCAGUUUUCUGUUACGCUAUUUUUUCAAGUGUGCUACUUGUCUCUAAACACGUACGUUUUCCAGAAGUAUACAUCAACAUUGCCAAAAUGUUGAUGUAAUGUUGCCAAAAUCUCUAUCGUCCUUUUGACUCAUUUGGAAGCGGUUAUAGUUUAAAAUCUGGUCAUAGCUUUUCUGACCAAACAAAAGCCAAUUAUAGCCAAGACCCAGCAAAACGUGUUUUGGAAUUUAGAUUUUUAUCCCACUGUAGUGUUUGGUGUAUAACCUACUUAUUACCCAAAAAACCUAUUCCACCCCACCUGCAUAGUUCACAGGUACCACUAGAAGACGUCGGGCCCUCAUGUCACUAUCAUGGAGUCGGUCUCUGACAGUUUGGUCAGAAACAUGCACACCAGUAGCCUGCUGGAGGUCAUUUUGUAGUGCUCUGGCAGGAGUAGGAGUAGAUACCGGUACUGCUGCAGCGUGGAUGCCUUUCUACGUUCUGUCCAGCUCUCCUUGUGUAAUGGCCCUUCUUCUGGUAUCUCCUCCAUGCUCUUGAGACUACUGGGAGACACCGCUAACCUUCUUGUGGAGGUACGUAUGGAUGUGUCAUCCUGGAGGAGCUGGACUAGGUGUACAACCUAAAUGGGCUACAGGCACCGCUUCAUGGUACCAGUAGUGACAAGGACACUAGAAAACUAGAGUAUAAUCAGUCAGGAUGGAUAAGGAGAGAGCAAUCAUCUGUGGCCACCACCUGCAAAAUCAUUCCCUUUUUGGGAGUUGUCUUGCUGUUGCCUCUUCAGUACAGCUGUCACUUUCAUUUGCACCAAAACAGGUGACAUUGAUUCACAAUCGCUUAUGCUUCCUAACUGGACAGAUUGAUAUCCCUGAAGUUUAACUAACUUGGUUUUAUGCUGUGAUGAUUACAUGUUCCCUUUUUUGAGCAGUGUAUUUGAAAACAAUUUCUAAGACCCGGGCAUUGUUUCCCAAACCUUCUCAGUCUGGCACCACUUCAUUAUGUUGGAAGGUCCAAAACAGUCCAGUUUGACCCUGCAGAGACAGCCUGUCUCUUUAAUACACUGUAUUAUCUACAUUUCUGCUUCACAAAUAAAAUAUUUGAUGUAUGAACUCAUAUAGCUUCAUAAAGUAUAUUUCUUAUGGUGAGCCACUAGCUGAGUAUUUGACAUGUUCUUGGCAGUAUUUGUGAAGAACAUCUUAGUUUUUUAGCAGAGAACAAAUGGGAAAUAUUUUUUGCAAUUCAUACAUUUAUAAUAUAUAAUGGAAUUUACAUGUUAUUCAAUAGAAGAAGUGAAAGGCAGGAGUUGUGGGCUCAACAAUAUCCAUCUUGUAUGGUACUUGAACUUUGCAUCACAUAAGAUAUGAAUGAAUGUGUUUAUGUGUUAGUUGUACCACCCACUAUGACUAGGGGACACAUGGACCAAAACAUACAGGAGGCUAAGUCUCCAGGAAUAGGAGCUAAGGAAUUAAAUGUUAAGUGUUUGAGCGGCCCAGUCAGAGCCCUGAACCUGUAUUCAAUCGCAGAUCUGUGGCAUGACUUGAAGAUUGUUGUCCAUCGAUGCUUCCAAAGUAAGUAUUUAGUGAAGAACUGUGAAGGACAGUGUACUGUUGCUCACCUGGCUGGACCCAAACUGUCUGCAGUAGGGAGUUUUUCUCAAGAAUGCUCAAAUAUUGCUUAAGUAUGCAAAGUUAGUAUAGACUAACUAAAAUAAACUCACAACUGUCACACCCUAAUUAUCUUGUUGCAUUGUGUUCCACCCCAACCAGGUGUAUUCCAUUAACCCGUCACCUGUGCCUGUUUCACCUGCGUUCAUUGUACUGGUUGUCAGUUCAUCUGGUGGAUGUCUGUUCUGGUUGUCAGUUCAUCUUGUGGAUGUCUGUUCUGGUUGUCAUUUCAUCUGGUGGAUGUCUGUUCUGGUUCUCAGUUCAUCUGGUGGAUGUCUGUUCUGGUUGUCAGUUCAUCUGGUGGAUGUCUGUUCUGGUUGUCAGUUCAUCUGGUGGAUGUCUGUUCUGGUUGGCAGUUUGUCUUGAUGAUUCCUGUGUCGUUCUUGCCAGGCUGUAUUUUCUAUGACCCCAUACGUGUAAGUUUUGUUGCUUUCCGGUGUGCAUACCUCUGCUUGCCUUUACCUGAACUCUGCCCAUUCCUUGUCUGCUUACUGCUAUUGUUAUUCAUGUGUACCAAACCCUGAUUUCCCAUGACCUGUCUUUACCUAUUGAAGACAAUAAACCUUGCCUAGUUUGUACACCUGCCUCCUGAGUCUGCACUCGGAUCUUACCAUGGUUAUUACACUGUUAUUACUGCCAAAUCUGCUUUCACGUGACCUGUCUUUACCUAUUGAAGACAAUAAACCUUGCCUAGUUUGUACACCUGCCUCCUGAGUCUGCACUUGGAUCUCACCAUGGUUAUUACACUGUUAUUACUGCCAAAUCUGCUUUCACAUGACCUGUCUUUACCUAUUGAAGACAAUAAACCUUGCCUAGUUUGUACACCUGCCUCCUGAGUCUGCACUUGGAUCUCACCAUGGUUAUUACACUGUUAUUACUGCCAAAUCUGCUUUCACAUGACCUGUCUUUACCUAUUGAAGACAAUAAACCUUGCCUAGUUUGUACACCUGCCUCCUGAGUCUGCACUUGGAUCUUACCAUGGUUAUUACACUGUUAUUACUGCCAAAUCUACUUUCACAUGACCUGUCUUUACCUAUUGAAGACAAUAAACCUUGCCUAGUUUGUACACCUGCCUCCUGAGUCUGCACUCGGAUCUUACCAUGGUUAUUACACUGUUAUUACUGCCAAAUCUGCUUUCACAUGACCUGUCUUUACCUAUUGAAGACAAUAAACCUUGCCUAGUUUGUACACCUGCCUCCUGAGUCUGCACUUGGAUCUCACCAUGGUUAUUACACUGUUAUUACUGCCAAAUCUGCUUUCACACGGUUGAACUCAAGAGACAAUUAUAUUUCAGUUUUGUCUUCUAAUAUACAAUGUAUGUGUAUGCAUUUUCAAAAUAAACGAAUCCUUAAAAGUGUGGAGUAUGCGUUCUAGAUAAAUCAAUUUAUUUAAUGCAGGAAAUUGAGACACUGGCAUGACUAAAUAUGAAAAACUUAAGGGGCUGUUGGUUUUCUAAAUGCGUUGUAUCAGUUACCUGUUUACAGCCAUCGCAGUACCUUAUUAGGUCAAUGAAAACUAUCAUCGCUGUGACCAUUUUAUAACUAAGCAAUAAGCCAUAUAUUACCAUAUUUUGGCGUUCAAAUAUUAUAACUUUAAAUAGAUCAAUUAAUACAGAGUGGAUAAAUAGAAUGACAUUGGAGGGGUGAAGCCCUCGGCAGGUCUGUUUUCUCCUCAGGAUAGUGUUGUGCACAGCUAUAAAGUGUGAAAAGAAAUGUAUGCACUUGCUAGAUUUUAACUACUUAGAUGUGCAAUCAGUGGUUAACGGUCCAUGUAACGCUUAUCAGUUUAUUUAUCUAACUAAUAUCCAUGAAUAGAACAUUUAAAAAAUGGGUUGAAAAUUCAAAUUCUCAAUAAUUUUUCUGUCAAAACAGUUGAAAAUUGGGUUUAUGGACUUGUAUCGGACUAAACACAUGGCUUCAAGCUUAACGAGCUGUACAAGCAACCUCUUAUCUGGGUGAGAUGCAGAUGUGGGGUGUGUUGUUGGCUACAAUGGAAAAAAAAACUGACCAAUAAAAGGGGGUAACCAACCACCUCUGACUCCCCAUUUGUCAUAUGGUUUAGUCCAAUGCCUUAGCCAAUAAUACCAUUUUAAUUUUUCAAUAAACCAAAAAUCUGAAAAUUAAAAAAACAAGUCAUAAACCCAAUUUUCUAUUGUUUUGACAGACAAAUAAUUGAAAAUUGGAAUUAUAUAUAUUUUUUAGAUGUUCUAUUUAAUGAUAUAUUAAUUAGAUUAAUAAACUGAUAGAUAGUUACUGGGACCCUUGUACCUCCCACAG
ensembl:lncRNA